GCACAAGCAGGAAGAGGGGCAGACAGAGGGAGAGGGAGAAGCAGGUUCCCUGCAGAACAAAGGAACCUGAUGUGGGACUCGAUCCCAGGACCCCAAGAUCAUGACCUGAGCCAAAGGCAGUCACCCAACCUACUGAGCCAUCCAGAUCUGCCAGUGAUUCCCAUGGGGCAAAACAGAACUUCUCAAAAGGCCUGAGCAUAUGGAUUAUUUGACAGAGAGAGAGACAGCGAGAGGGAACACAAGCAGGUGGAGUGGGAGAGGGAGAAGCAGGCUUCCCGCAGAGCAGAGAGCCCAAUGCGGGGCUUGGUCUCAGGACCCUGGGAUCAUGACCUGAGCUGAAGGCAGAAGCUUAACGACUGAGCCAUCCAGGCGCCCCAGA